GUGAGCCAAGCUCACACCACUGUACUCCAGCCUGGGUGACAGAGCCAAACUCUGUCUCAAAAAAACAAACAUAAUUUAUCGAGGUAUAUACAGUAUUGCUUAUUAAUACAUUUUAUCUUGUAUCCAUUAAUUAUUCUAAUAGUUGUUGUUAUUUUUAAUAUUUUUGUCUUUGAACUUUAUACCAGAGUUACAAGUUAUUUGUAUGUUAUUUCUUCAACAUUCAGGGUAAAGAUGGUUCAGGGUAAAGAUAGUGUGAGAAAAAUGAUGUCUACUAAAAAUCUUUUUUCUUUGUGUUUCCCACAGCAGGAUACCUUGCUUUAGGCUCUGCUCAGUAGACAGUUUCCAACUGUGUGCACAGCCUGAGACUGAUGCUGACAGAAACUAAUUGGCGCAUAUUGUUAAGUCUUAAAAUGAGAUACAGGGUGCUGUUACCCUUUGCUGUAGUGGGGAGUAUAGAUGAAGUGAAAGUUGCAGAAAGGAUGGUCAGAGGCCGUCACUACCCUUGGGGAGUUUGCAAGGUAAAAAUGAAAGAGGGCAGGCUUUGGAAUGAUUAAGUUAAAUAUAUAUGUGUCAUUCAUAGUCUCAAAGUAACAUUUUAACUUGGGCUAAUAUUGGUAACUCUGGUAAUCUGUAAGUUAACAGUUACUAAUGAGGAACAUAAACUCUGUUUUAUUUAAACUAAUGCUUACUUUGACCAUGAUUCAUUCUCAUAGAAGUUUGCUGAAAGCUCUUUAAGCCAAAAUCUGCAGAGUCUGGGAAGAACAUCUUUGUUUAUCCCAGUGCUCCCAAUGCGCCAUGUGCAUAUUAUCUGUCUCUGUGUCAAUCAUGACAUUGAGAAUGCUGGAAAGCACUUUAAACAAAAUGGAAGCAAAAAUACUAGUGUGUAGACAUGUUACAUAAACUCAUUACUACCUAAUGUAGAAACCAUUUUAAACUGGUCACUAGAAAAAAGAGUGAUAAACUUUUUAAAACAAGAAAGUACAAUUUACCUUUGGCUAAAGAUUAUACCUUUGACAUUUAUAUAAUUAUUUAGCGUCAUACUAAGUUAGAACAGUGUAGUAAGCAGUAAUUUAUUGUCUGAUUCAUAUACUUGUGGUACUAAUUAUUGGAGAAUGGAAAAUUUCUACUUGUACUGGUUUCCAAAUGAUAUGUUUUGUUUUUUUGUUUGUUUUUUGAGACAGAGUUUU